CCAGUUGCAGAGUCCAGCCCCCAGCCUACCAAUCAGUCCAGUGCAAUCCCAACUGGGGAAUCCAGCUCUCUGCCUGCUGAGGAUCCAGCCCUCACCCAGUUGCAGAGUCCAGUCCCCACCCUACUGAGGUGUCCAGCCCUCACAUAGUUGCAGAAUCCAGCAGUCUCCCAUCAAUCUCAGGGGGCAAGUUGACUGGGUCCAGCCCCCAUCCAGUUGUGGAGUCCAGUGCUCUCCCCACCCAGGAGUCUAGUCCCUACCCUGCCAAGGAGUCCAUCCCUCAAUGUGUCAUUACCUGCCUGCUUCAACCAAGAUGUGCUUAUGCACUGAAGUCUUUUAGUAGAUUUGUUCAUCUCUAAAUGUGGCGUUUUCACGUCUUGUUUCAAGUCAAUAAAACCAGUUAUUUUUCUGGUAAAA